rnacentral:lncRNA from 1 species
UUGGUGCAUGACUGUAGAACUUUAAGCAAUGAUGAAAAUGCUCUAUAUCCACACUAUCCAAUAUGGUUCUGCUUGAAUUCUUGCCCUGGCUCUUGGUGAAGGAUCGGCCUGCUGGAUCUGAGUCAUCCACCUAUAAGAGGGACAACACCACACAUUGGUCGCUGCUCUCAAGCCCCUGGAAUACCACCCCACUUGGCUUCUCCUGGUAACAGUGGCUGCCUUUGCUUGCCUGUCUCCAACUCCUCCCAAGAGCAUUGCUGACUAUACCACCCACAUAAACAAAAACUUUUUGGGAGUCCUCCAGAAUUUUUAAGAGUUAUCUAAACUAUUGCCUUUAAUGACCAGGAACUCCAAUUUGAGAAGUUACCCUACGUUAAGCCAACAGCAGCCUGGCUCCUUCAUCCUGUGCAGUAUGGGACAGAGCUGGGUCCUUGUUGUCAUCAGCCAGACAAGCACACAUUAAAGCCCACCUUAGCCAUUGGCAUUACAGCUUUAAAAGCAGCUCCAUCCUACCAUGCUGUCACUCUACUCAAUCACGUGAUCUUAACG